UAGGGAAUCUUCUNGCAAUGGACGGAAGUCUGACCGAGCAACGCCGCGUGAGUGAAGAAGGUUUUCGGAUCGUAAAGCUCUGUUGUAAGAGAAGAACGAGUGUGAGAGUGGAAAGUUCACACUGUGACGGUAUCUUACCAGAAAGGGACGGCUAACUACGUGCCAGCAGCCGCGGUAAUACGUAGGUCCCGAGCGUUGUCCGGAUUUAUUGGGCGUAAAGCGAGCGCAGGCGGUUAGAUAAGUCUGAAGUUAAAGGCUGUGGCUUAACCAUAGUACGCUUUGGAAACUGUUUAACUUGAGUGCAAGAGGGGAGAGUGGAAUUCCAUGUGUAGCGGUGAAAUGCGUAGAUAUAUGGAGGAACACCGGUGGCGAAAGCGGCUCUCUGGCUUGUAACUGACGCUGAGGCUCGAAAGCGUGGGGAGCAAACAGGAUUAGAUACCCUGGUAGUCCACGCCGUAAACGAUGAGUGCUAGGUGUUAGACCCUUUCCGGGGUUUAGUGCCGCAGCUAACGCAUUAAGCACUCCGCCUGGGGAGUACGACCGCAAGGUUG
rnacentral:rRNA from 1 species